GCUGUAUACUUGAUAUUUUGAAUUAUAUUUUUUUUUUUUGGUUUAUUUUUGUUGUGGGAAAUAUCUACAGCCAUUUUUCACGUUUUUUUUUUUUAUAAAAAAUAGUGCUCGAUCGUUUUUAGUUUCAAUUAGACUAAUUUUUAUGAUGUCUGAGGGUUUUUAUUGUUCCUUUGAUGAAUCAGUAGUAUCAUUCUAAGAUUUAUCGAAUAAUUUUCGGCUUCCCAAAAAUACAGCUUGGCAUAACGCAGUAUCGGUUUGUAAUACAAUUUUGUUUCUACCGGUUUCUUUUUCAUUGUUCUAGCAUUUGUGCGGCAUCAUGGGUAACAUAAUUUGUUAUUUUGUAUUUAUUUUACUCUAUUAUUUUUUAAUAAGCAAAUCGUGUGAGUGGAGGUGCUCGUGUGUUUAAUUGCAUUGUAUGUUUUUAUGUUUUUGGUAAGAUUAGCUUACUGGUAGUAAGAAUAAUCACAACAAGCUGAUAAAUUGGGUUUUGUUCACAGUCAUCUGUACCGUUACAGUGCACAAAAUGUCAUAACUAAUUGGGGUGGUCAUAAUUCAAAAAGGCUUUAAUAGCAUUCAUAUAUCAACAAAAUUACUGAUAAUGUUAAUUGCAGAAUGUGCUAAGUCUACAAGAAUUAUUCAGUGACCUUAGAUAACCAUGUACCAUUUGACGGAAUUAUUUUUUUUGUUCUAAAAAACG
rnacentral:lncRNA from 1 species